rnacentral:lncRNA from 1 species
GAGAAGCAGUUAGAUGGUUUCUCCCCUGGUUCUACAGAAAUGGUUAUAGUUUAUAGCAACCAGAGCCAGGUGACAUCCAUGUGUAGAGUUAGCUAGCCUGGGCCAGCCAGAGAACAGGUCAGUCUCGGCCUCCUUGGUGCCGAGGGGUAGGUUUUGUUUUCAUUCUCCUCAUGAAUAAGUUCUGGAGGCAGAAUAGUAGUUAUCAGGAAGUUGCUUUUAAUUUUAAAAGAUCUCUGUUUCAGAUCCACUGAAUAUUUCCUUACUUUAGACAACAAAACAAGCAGUUUCUUGAUUAGUUCUGCACAUUGAGUACCUCUUCAUAGCUUCUACCAGUGGAAGAUGGAGAUUCCAUCCUGCCUGUGUCACAGCCCACUCUUGACUUCCGGAGGUUCCAGUCCAUGGCCUGUUAGAGAGGAUGCCCUUUAUGAGGGAAAGAGAUCAGCAAAAGGUGACCCAGGACCAGGUGACCUCUACAACUGGGCCUGUGUAGAUGCCUUCAACCUGGGAGAAACUGGUUUGGAGGAGGGCCAGGAGUUAAGUGUCAAACACCCAACUGGA